rnacentral:rRNA from 1 species
AGAGUUUGAUUCUGGCUCAGGAUGAACGCUAGCUACAGGCUUAACACAUGCAAGUCGAGGGGCAGCAUUGGAGUAGCAAUACUCAGAUGGCGACCGGCGCACGGGUGAGUAACACGUAUCCAACCUACCGCUUACUCGGGGAUAGCCUUUCGAAAGAAAGAUUAAUACCCGAUGGUAUAAAGAGUUCGCAUGUUCUCUUUAUUAAAGAAUUUCGGUAAGCGAUGGGGAUGCGUUCCAUUAGAUAGUUGGCGGGGUAACGGCCCACCAAGUCUACGAUGGAUAGGGGUUCUGAGAGGAAGGUCCCCCACAUUGGAACUGAGACACGGUCCAAACUCCUACGGGAGGCAGCAGUGAGGAAUAUUGGUCAAUGGACGAGAGUCUGAACCAGCCAAAGUAGCGUGAAGGAUGACUGCCCUAUGGGUUGUAAACUUCUUUUAUAAGGGAAUAAAGUGAGGGACGUGUCCCUUUUUGUAUGUACCUUAUGAAUAAGGAUCGGCUAACUCCGUGCCAGCCGCCGC